rnacentral:rRNA from 1 species
CAGGAUUCCCCUAGUACUGCGAGUGAAGCGGGAAAAGCUCAAAUUUAAAAUCUGGCAGUCUCUGGCUGUCCGAGUUGUAAUCUAGAGAAGUAAUGCCCGUGCUGGACCGUGUAUAAGUCUCCUGGGAUGGGGCGUCAUAGAGGGUGAGAAUCCCGUCUUUGACACGGACUACCAGUGCAUUGUGGUAUGCUCUCAAAGAGUCGAGUUGUUUGGGAAUGCAGCUCAAAAUGGGUGGUAAAUUCCAUCUAAAGCUAAAUAUUGGCGAGAGACCGAUAGCGAACAAGUACCGUGAGGGAAAGAUGAAAAGAACUUUGGAAAGAGAGUUAAACAGUACGUGAAAUUGCUGAAAGGGAAACGCUUGAAGUCAGUCNCGUUGGCCNGGAAUCAGCCUUGCUUUUGCAUGGUGUACUUUCUGGUUGAUGGGUCAGCAUCAAUUUUGACCGCUGGAAAAAGACCUGGGGAAUGUGGCAGCUUCGGCUGUGUUAUAGCCCCUAGUCACAUACAGUGGUUGGGAUUGAGGAACUCAGCACGCCGCAAGGCCGGGUUUCGACCACGUUCGUGCUUAGGAUGCUGGCAUAAUGGCUUUAAGCGACCCGUCUUGAAACACGGACCAAGGAGUCUAACAUGCCUGCGAGUAUUUGGGUGGAAAACCCAAGUGCNNAAUGAAAGUGAAAGUUGAGAUCCCUGUCNUGGGGAGCAUCGACGCCCGGACCAGAACUUUUGGGACGGAUCCGCGGUGGAGCAUGUAUGUUGGGACCCGAAAGAUGGUGAACUAUGCCUGAAUAGGGUGAAGCCAGAGGAAACUCUGGUGGAGGCUCGUAGCGAUUCUGACGUGCAAAUCGAUCGUCAAAUUUGGGUAUAGGGGCGAA